AACGAACGCUGGCGGCAUGCCUAACACAUGCAAGUCGAACGGGAUCCUGGUUUCGGCCAGGUGAGAGUGGCGGACGGGUGAGUAACGCGUGGGAACCUGCCCAGUGGUGGGGGAGUAACUGCGGGAAACGUAGCAGCUAAUACCGCAUGAGCCCGAAAGGGGAAAGGAAUUGAUCGCCAUUGGAGGGGCCCGCGUUCGAUUAGGUAGUUGGUGAGGUAACGGCUCACCAAGCCUUCGAUCGAUAGCUGGUCUGAGA
rnacentral:rRNA from 1 species